rnacentral:rRNA from 1 species
GACGAACGCUGGCGGCGUGCCUAAUACAUGCAAGUAGAACGCUGAAGGAGGAGCUUGCUUCUCUGGAUGAGUUGCGAACGGGUGAGUAACGCGUAGGUAACCUGCCUGGUAGCGGGGGAUAACUAUUGGAAACGAUAGCUAAUACCGCAUAAUAGCAGUUGUUGCAUGACAACUGUUUGAAAGGUGCAAUUGCACCACUACCAGAUGGACCUGCGUUGUAUUAGCUAGUUGGUGGGGUAACGGCUCACCAAGGCGACGAUACAUAGCCGACCUGAGAGGGUGAUCGGCCACACUGGGACUGGGACACGGCCCAGACUCCUACGGGAGGCAGCAGUAGGGAAUCUUCGGCAAUGGACGGAAGGCUGACCGAGCAACGCCGCGUGAGUGAAGAAGGUUUUCGGAUCGUAAAGCUCUGUUGUAAGAGAAGAACGAGUGUGAGAGUGGAAAGUUCACACUGUGACGGUAUCUUACCAGAAAGGGACGGCUAACUACGUG